rnacentral:tRNA from 1 species
GGGACUGUAGUUAAAUUUAACAUUUAAUUUGCAAUUAAAAGAUACUAAUAAAUAAUAGUCUGUCUCA